rnacentral:rRNA from 1 species
GACGAACGCUGGCGGCAUGCCUAACACAUGCAAGUCGAGCGAGCAGAUCCCUUCGGGGUGAAGCUAGCGGCGGACGGGUGAGUAACACGUGGCAACCUGCCUCAUAGAGGGGAAUAGCCUUCCGAAAGGAAGAUUAAUACCGCAUAAGAUUGUAGCUUCGCAUGAAGUAGCAAUUAAAGGAGCAAUCCACUAUGAGAUGGGCCCGCGGCGCAUUAGCUAGUUGGUGAGGUAACGGCUCACCAAGGCGACGAUGCGUAGCCGACCUGAGAGGGUGAUCGGCCACAUUGGGACUGAGACACGGCCCAGACUCCUACGGGAGGCAGCAGUGGGGAAUAUUGCACAAUGGGGGAAACCCUGAUGCAGCAAUGCCGCGUGAGUGAUGACGGCCUUCGGGUUGUAAGGCUCUGUCUUCGGGGACGAUAAUGACGGUACCCGAGGAGGAAGCCACGGCUAACUACGUGCCAGCCGCCGCCGUAA